rnacentral:rRNA from 1 species
GGGCGGGGUGCUAUAAUGCAAGUCGAGCGAACCGACGGGAGCUUGCUCCCUUAGGUUAGCGGCGGACGGGUGAGUAACACGUGGGUAACCUGCCUGUAAGACUGGGAUAACUCCGGGAAACCGGGGCUAAUACCGGAUGCUUGAUUGAACCGCAUGGUUCAAUUAUAAAAGGUGGCUUUUAGCUACCACUUACAGAUGGACCCGCGGCGCAUUAGCUAGUUGGUGAGGUAACGGCUCACCAAGGCGACGAUGCGUAGCCGACCUGAGAGGGUGAUCGGCCACACUGGGACUGAGACACGGCCCAGACUCCUACGGGAGGCAGCAGUAGGGAAUCUUCCGCAAUGGACGAAAGUCUGACGGAGCAACGCCGCGUGAGUGAUGAAGGUUUUCGGAUCGUAAAACUCUGUUGUUAGGGAAGAACAAGUACCGUUCGAACAGGGCGGUGCCUUGACGGUACCUAACCAGAAAGCCACGGCUAACUACGUGCCAGCAGCCGCGGUAAUACGUAGGUGGCAAGCGUUGUCCGGAAUUAUUGGGCGUAAAGCGCGCGCAGGCGGUUUCUUAAGUCUGAUGUGAAAGCCCCCGGCUCAACCGGGGAGGGUCAUUGGAAACUGGGGAACUUGAGUGCAGAAGAGGAGAGUGGAAUUCCACGUGUAGCGGUGAAAUGCGUAGAGAUGUGGAGGAACACCAGUGGCGAAGGCGACUCUCUGGUCUGUAACUGACGCUGAGGCGCGAAAGCGUGGGGAGCGAACAGGAUUAGAUACCCUGGUAGUCCACGCCGUAAACGAUGAGUGCUAAGUGUUAGAGGGUUUCCGCCCUUUAGUGCUGCAGCAAACGCAUUAAGCACUCCGCCUGGGGAGUACGGUCGCAAGACUGAAACUCAAAGGAAUUGACGGGGGCCCGCACAAGCGGUGGAGCAUGUGGUUUAAUUCGAAGCAACGCGAAGAACCUUACCAGGUCUUGACUCCUCUGACCCCCUAGAGAUAGGGCUCCCCUUCGGGGCAGAGUGACAGGGGU